rnacentral:rRNA from 1 species
UACAGAGGUCCCAAGCGUUGUUCGGAUUCACUGGGCGUAAAGGGUGCGUAGGCGGUCGGGUAAGUCUGAUGUGAAAUCUCACAGCUUAACUGUGAAACUGCAUUGGAUACUAUCCGGCUUGAGGAAUGGAGGGGAGACUGGAAUACUUGGUGUAGCAGUGAAAUGCGUAGAUAUCAAGUGGAACACCAGUGGCGAAGGCGGCUCACUGGCCCGGUACUGACGCUGAGGCGCGAAAGCGUGGGGAGCAAACAGG